rnacentral:ncRNA from 2 species
UACGUGCUCCGGGGUCGGUGUAAGUCCGAACCGGCGGUGACAGUCCGCGACCCGCGAGCCGGCGUUUUCCCAGGAAAGCCCGGCGGACGGUUGAACCGGUGAAAUUCCGGUACCGACAGUUAAAGUCUGGAUGAGAGAAGCGCGUA